CAGUGGCGAACGGGUGAGUAACACGUGGGCAAUCUGCCCUGCACUCUGGGACAAGCCCUGGAAACGGGGUCUAAUACCGGAUAUUACCUUCCUCUGCAUGGGGGAGGGUGGAAAGCUCCGGCGGUGCAGGAUGAGCCCGCGGCCUAUCAGCUUGUUGGUGGGGUAAUGGCCUACCAAGGCGACGACGGGUAGCCGGCCUGAGAGGGCGACCGGCCACACUGGGACUGAGACACGGCCCAGACUCCUACGGGAGGCAGCAGUGGGGAAUAUUGCACAAUGGGCGAAAGCCUGAUGCAGCGACGCCGCGUGAGGGAUGACGGCCUUCGGGUUGUAAACCUCUUUCAGCAGGGAAGAAGCGCAAGUGACGGUACCUGCAGAAGAAGCACCGGCUAACUACGUGCCAGCAGCCGCGGUAAUACGUAGGGUGCGAGCGUUGUCCGGANUUAUUGGGCGUAAAGAGCUCGUAGGCGGCCUGUCGCGUCGGAUGUGAAAGCCCGGGGCUUAACCCCGGGUCUAGUAUUCGAUACGGGCAGGCUAGAGUGUGGUAGGGGAGAUCGGAAUUCCU
rnacentral:rRNA from 1 species